rnacentral:misc_RNA from 1 species
GGGGUGAAAACCCGAAAGGGAGUCCCAAGAACCAAAAUGGAGAAAUAAGGAAGGGGAUAUGAAACCGAGGAUGGAGAGGAAACUGUCGCGGCAUGAGGCUUCAGAGAACUUGAAAUAAUGGCAGUUAAGAGACUUCAAAGCCAACCAUAAGGAAUAUGUGAGAUCUACCCUUGUACUCUUUUUCUUUGAAACUCUAUCUUUGUUUUUCUUAAAACCGUAAUAAAAAUUAUACUUUUUUCCCUCUGCUUUUAUUUUUUCCCUUGUACUCACUCUUUAACAUUAUCUUUCUGCAAUCUCGUUAUUUAAUGCGCUAUUAAUCAAUUAAAAUUUUUGCCAUAAGAUUAGGAUUUAACAAUUGAUAACCUCACAUACUUUACUAUGAGAUUUGCAGGGAAUGACCAGGAAAAGGGUACAUAAAAGGAAAAUAAGGAUGAAAACCCGAAAUGGCAUCCUAGAAGCGCAAAAAAAAAAAAAAAAAAAAAA